AUUGAACGCUGGCGGCAGGCCUAACACAUGCAAGUCGAACGGUAACAGAAAGCAGCUUGCUGCUUUGCUGACGAGUGGCGGACGGGUGAGUAAUGUCUGGGAAACUGCCUGAUGGAGGGGGAUAACUACUGGAAACGGUAGCUAAUACCGCAUAACGUCGCAAGACCAAAGAGGGGGACCUUCGGGCCUCUUGCCAUCGGAUGUGCCCAGAUGGGAUUAGCUAGUAGGUGGGGUAACGGCUCACCUAGGCGACGAUCCCUAGCUGGUCUGAGAGGAUGACCAGCCACACUGGAACUGAGACACGGUCCAGACUCCUACGGGAGGCAGCAGUGGGGAAUAUUGCACAAUGGGCGCAAGCCUGAUGCAGCCAUGCCGCGUGUAUGAAGAAGGCCUUCGGGUUGUAAAGUACUUUCAGCGGGGAGGAGGGGAGUAAAGUUAAUACCUUUGCUCAUUGACGUUACCCGCAGAAGAAGCACCGGCUAACUCCGUG
rnacentral:rRNA from 1 species